UUGUUAUUCACUCAGUUAUAUAUAUUUAUACACACACACAUAAUGCUGCUCCCACCUCUUGGUAUAAAAUCUAUCCGUCUUGUCCACUGGAUGCACUCUGUGUGUCCCUGUCCAUCUGUGUGUCUCCUGCGUGUGUUUUCAGCACCCUUCUAAACAGCCAUGUCUGACGUUGAAGAGGAAUAUGAGGAGCAGACUGAAGAAGUUGAGGAGGAGCAGGAGCCUGAGCAGGAGGAGGAGGAGGAAGACGAGACUGAGCAGGGCGAGGAAGAUGGAGGAGAACAACAAGAAUACCAAGGUAAGA